UACGUAGGUGGCAAGCGUUGUCCGGAUUUAUUGGGUUUAAAGGGUGCGUAGGCGGCCCUGUAAGUCAGUGCUGAAAUAUCCCGGCUUAACCGGGAGGGUGGCAUUGAUACUGCGGGGCUAGAGUACAGAUGAGGUAGGCGGAAUUGACGGUGUAGCGGUGAAAUGCUUAGAUAUCGUCAAGAACACCUAUUGCGAAGGCAGCUAACUAAGCUUUAACUGACGCUGAGGCACGAAAGUGUGGGGAUCAAACAGG
rnacentral:rRNA from 1 species